UACAGAGGUCCCAAGCGUUGUUCGGAUUCACUGGGCGUAAAGGGUGCGUAGGCGGUUGGGUAAGUCUGUCGUGAAAUCUCCGAGCCUAACUCGGAAACUGCGUCGGAUACUAUUCAACUCGAGGAAUGGAGGGGAGACUGGAAUUCUCGGUGUAGCAGUGAAAUGCGUAGAUAUCGAGAGGAACACCAGUGGCGAAGGCGGCGUCCUGGACCAACACUGACACUGAUGAGCGAAAGCCAGGGGAGCAAACGGG
rnacentral:rRNA from 1 species